AACGAACGCUGGCGGCAGGCUUAACACAUGCAAGUCGAGCGCCCCGCAAGGGGAGCGGCAGACGGGUGAGUAACGCGUGGGAAUCUACCCAUCUCUACGGAAUAACGCAUGGAAACGUGUGCUAAUACCGUAUACGUCCUUCUGGAGAAAGAUGUAUCGGAGUUGGAUGAGCCCGCGUUGGAUUAGCUAGUUGGGGGGGUAAAGGCCUACCAAGGCGACUAUCCAUAGGUGGUCGGAGAGGAGGAUCAGCCACACUGGGACUGAGACACGGCCCAGACUCCUACGGGAGGCAGCAGUGGGGAAUAGUGGACAAUGGGCGCAAGCCUGAUCCAGCCAUGCCGCGUGAGUGAUGAAGGCCCUAGGGUUGUAAAGCUCUUUCACCGGUGAAGAUAAUGACGGUAACCGGAGAAGAAGCCCCGGCUAACUUCGUGCCAGCAGCCGCGUAAAAC
rnacentral:rRNA from 1 species